rnacentral:sRNA from 1 species
UUUGAUGUUUUAAAUGGCCUCCUACGAAGUUGACGUAUUGAUUGGCCAUUUUUUGAAAGUUGGGGAUUAAACUACAUUUUUCUCGAAACUGAUAUGGUAUUACU